rnacentral:rRNA from 1 species
UACGUAGGGGGCUAGCGUUGUCCGGAAUCAUUGGGCGUAAAGCGCGUGUAGGCGGUCCGGUAAGUCCGCUGUGAAAGUCGAGGGCUCAACCCUCGAAUGCCGGUGGAUACUGUCGGGCUUGAGUACGGGAGAGGCGAGUGGAAUUCCUGGUGUAGCGGUGAAAUGCGCAGAUAUCAGGAGGAACACCGAUGGCGAAGGCAGGUCUCUGGGCCACUACUGACGCUGAGAAGCGAAAGCAUGGGGAGCGAACAGG